ensembl:miRNA
UGUGGGACUGCAAAUGGGAGCUCAGCACCUUCCUGCCACCCACACAGACCAGCCCCUGCUCUGUUCCCACAG